ensembl:lncRNA
ACCCACCCCUAGUUACCCACCUUACCCCAGACCUAUUCGUCUAAAACCUAUCCUUACCCUCUACUUCCCUGACACCUUAAAUAUUCCCCAAGUACCCCAACACACCCCUCUCCUCGCACACACUUGGUCUCGCCCGUCUGACGUCACCCCCCACACCGCACAAAUGUUCUUCCGGACUUCACGUCGGGUCCUCCCGCAGCCCCCGGCACCCGGAAGCCAGCGCAACCGUAACGUGGCGUCAUGAAUGUGUUUGAAUGUUCUGUGUGUGUUAAAUAAAAGGGUAAUCCCGGUGUCAGUCCUGUUUUUGUCCAUUGCCUGUGGUAACUGGCAGCCGCACCGUUACACCCGGGGAGCAGAAAGCUGUCCGGGACCGCCCUGGAGCCCGGAGAGGAAGGAGGAGCCGUUCAGGAGGCCCACGACGAAGGAAGAGACACUCAGGGGGGCUGGAGAAGGCUCGGUGGUCGACCAAGAGAGGGGGAGCGUGGACACAAGCAGACGUUACCAUCAAACCCCAGGACGCCUCACCGAGCACACCUCACACCUCUAGUUAUUAACCCCUCGCUUGUCUUUGCUCUGUGAGCCACAGAUAGAAGAAUAAUGUGAGGAUUGAUCAAAUAAUGAUGUUAAACACACCACGCCUCGUCUCCUGUGAAAGCUGGCAUCAUGAAGGAAUCAGACCGGUGUAUUUCCUCCCCUAGUUUCUGAGCUUGAACCAUCAGAUUCACUUUCAUGUUGAUCCAUAAUUUCUAGAAUGUCAUUUCUGCAAUGUCAUUCCCCUUCAAUAGUGAAUCACGGUUGAUACUUAGGGUCUGAUCCUGGACCCAUCUCGAUGUCUCUCUCUCCAGCACCAGACCUGUAGGCUGAGUGGGUGGUGGAGAGGCUGUACUGGGAGGAGGAGGUUGAGGGGGUGGACUGGGAGUCUCUCCAGAUGACAUCGUCCUCAGGACCCAGACUUUGGUCAUCACCAUCCAUAGUUGCAUCAGGGGUAGUUGUUCUUGAAGUAUGUUCUUGUUGGUCCCUGGUUGGUGCAGGAGAUUCACUGGACAUUAGUGGUGUAGUUUCUGGAAGAGAAGGCAGCAGAGAGUCAGGACAUACAGCCAGCCUCCACAUGCAGCAACACUCACUGAAGACUGAAGCCCAGUGGAGCAGCUCUGCAGCUGGGUACUCUCAGGUGGAGAUGCACACACACACACACACACACACACACACACACACACACACACACACACACACACACACACACACACACACACACACACACACACACACACACACACACACACACACACCCAGAGUUAGACUUUAAUGUAACCAUGAUACAUGUCAGUUUAAUGUAACAUGAUACAUGUUAGAGUUGAAUGUAAUGAUGUUAGUUUAAUAUAACCAUGAUACACGUUAGUUUAACGUAACAUGAUACAUGUUAGUUUACCUACCCCUCGUAUUCUACCAUCGAAAACGGCUGGAAAUCCUGAGGCACCAUUUUGAAUAACUCCUUGUCCAGAUGGCUUUGCGUCUUUGGGCCCAUGGUUCUCCACAGCAAGGAACCCAGAGUGGUUUGUUGGUCUUUUUGGUCUCACUUCUGAGCCCGUUGUCGAAGUAGAGGGGCAAGAAACCACAGAUGUAGUGGAUGAAGGUUGAGUUCCUGAGGGUCCAGCUGCUACCAUGGUUGAACUGGUUGUUGUACUGGUUUUAGAGGGGA